CUGGAUAUGGAUUAAAGAUGAAAGGAUGAAUACAUGAUAUAUGUCGUCUUAUUCCAACUAACUAUUUUCUCCAUAAAAAUAAAAAAUCCCCCAUGAGUGGACAAGACUAGAGGAAAAGGGGGAUACCGUGUCGAAGAAGACAAGGAUGAAAAGAGAGAGAGACCGGAUCUAGCGUCGCUGAGGAUGGACGACUGAUGUUGAUGCUUAUUUCGCAGGCAGAUAUGAGACGCAUCGAGACUAGUGUGAGAAAAAUCAUGAGAGAAGACCUCCAAAGUCGAAGAAGUCAUUUCGUCACAAGUUCUCUCCUUUCCCUCUAAUUUUUUCCCUAAUUUGUUCGAAUCAGUGAUUUUCUUUCGUUCUGUUUACUUAGGGAAGUGACUGGUCUUUCUAUUUGGCUAAUUUGAUUUGGCUUUGGAUUGUCAAUUGCUGGUAUGACUACGUACGUUGUAGUUAGUUCUUUCUUGCUGGUGUUUCUUUUCCUGUUUUCCACACGAUUUUCCCUUUUUAAGCUGUUGCUUGUUGGCAUGGCCAUAUUGCUGGUAUGACUACGUUGUAGUUAGUUCUUUCUUGCUGGUGUUUCUUUUCCUGUUUUCCAUACGAUUUUCCCUUUGUAAGCUGUGGCAUGGCCAUAUUGCUGGUAUUGCUGGUAUGACUAAGUUGUAGCUAGUUCUUUCUUGCUGGUGUCUCUUUUCCUGUUUUCCAUACGAUUUUCCCUUUUUAAGCUGUGGCAUGGCCAUAUUGCUGGUAUGACUACGUUGUAGCUAGUUCUUUCUUGCUGGUGUUUCUUUUCCUGUUUUCCAUACGAUUUUCCCUUUCUAAAAGCUGUUGCUUGUUGGCAUGGCCAUGUUGCUGCUGCUAUGGUUUUCUUGCUGUGGCUGCUUUUUUUUCAAAUGAUUUGCUUGAGUAGCAAAUGCAUAACUUGGAAGAGUGAAGGUGGAACUUGAGCAGAAAAAUAAUAGGGGCUUGCAAAUACAAAGGAAAAGCUUAGCAUGGUCGUGACCAAGGGGGAGAAAUUGGUUCAGCCACAGGAUUCACCAAGGCACGCUCUAGCUGAGAAAACAAGCGGGCUUGAGAAACGUGUGGAUGAAUUGCAACAGCAUGAAUAUCCCAUAUUGUGUUAAGUUAGUGUUUUGGAAUGCAGAGCAAACCAUCUUUCUAAAAAUUUUGAUUUUUUUUUUAAAAUAAUUUUUUUUAUAUUUUUAAAUUGUUUUGAUAUACUGAUAUUAAAAAUAAAUUUUUAAAGAUAAAUAAAUUUUAUUUUAAUGCAUUUCUAAGCGAAAAAUACUUUAAACCGCUAUCACAAUCCCAAACAUGCCUUUAAUAUACAAAUGUAAUUGGUUACUUACUGUUUAAGCGUGUGAUACAAAUUGUAUUUUAAAAUGAUUUUUUAUUUGAAAAUAUAUUAAAAUAAUAUUUUUUUAUUUUUAAAAUUUAUUUUUGAUAUUAAUAUAUCAAAAUGAUAAAAAAAUCAUUUAAAAAAUUAAUUUAAAAAAAAUUAAAUUUUUUUAAAAACAUAAUUCAAUCAUAUUCCCAAACACAUUCUUAGAAUUAGAUGCAUUCUACUUAUAAGAUUUUGUGUAUCAAAUAAGUUCAAGCCGAAUAGAAACUAUAAAUUUAUCUAAAGGACUUUAGUUUAAUACA